rnacentral:lncRNA from 1 species
GGUUUGAAGAGGGGUUAUCGCAUACAUGGUUAGCCUAGGGUUAGGAUGAAGAUGCAGUGAGAUGACGGCACAGCUUCUUACAGACCAACUGAAGAUUUCAAACGUCCUUAAAGAGCAGCCCUUCAUUAGGUAAUUCCUACUCACCCGUUAAAUCGUUAAUGUUGCCUAAAAAUAGGAUUAUCAUUAGAUUUAAAAAAAAAGACAGAAACAUUUUUUUGUUAUGAUUGUUAACAGAUUAAUUGUGAAGUUACCCUGUUUUUCUUUCUUCCAGUAAAAAAACAAUAACAAAACUUUAUAUUUUUCCCAAUGUGUGCAGCCUUUUCAGUAUCUCAGAGUUAAAAACAGGUUUUAAUGUUUUAAUUCGUUAAUGUUGCUCCCAAAAAGAGUUUGUGUUUCUUUGUUUAAUCACCGGUGGUUACAUACAUGCUAAUUUAAUUCAAAAUUGAACUAUAAUAUUCACCAAAAACAGAUUGACCAGGUGGUAGCACAUUAAUGGUGGCGAGCAACUGACUUGCAAUAGGAACUUUCUUAUCGUCGUUCCUGUAGCGUUGAUUGGUCAUUAUAAGAUAAUAGAUUUGGAUGUAUCUAUAACUAGCAAAAUAAGUGGGGUAACGCCGUAACGGGAUCAGAAUGGGUUCGGGGUUUGGGUCAAACCUAAUACGAAAUUCGUGGGUUUGGGUUUGGUAUAAACGGUUUCGGGUCAGUU